rnacentral:lncRNA from 1 species
ACCUCUCCUGGAUCCAGACCUGGCCCAUAAAGAGUUGGUCCCUUGAGGCCCACAUAACCUAGACCUCAAGAACCCAAAAGGUCCACAGCCUUUCAACCUAGGGCCCAACUAGCCCUAGAGUCUCCAUGAAGCCCUCAUGAAUGAUGGACCUUGGCCUUAGCCUUGGUCCCCUGGGCCUUGGGCACACCACCUGGAUCAUAACAAUCUCCACCUUGGUGUCCCAAGGCCUCAACCAGCUCCACUCUAUCCUUGCGACUAUAGACCCAUUUGCAGCCAAUGGGCCUCUUCCCCUGUGGCAACUGCACC